CGGCCACAUUGGGACUGAGAUACGGCCCAGACUCCUACGGGAGGCAGCAGUGGGGAAUAUUGGGCAAUGGGCGCAAGCCUGACCCAGCAACGCCGCGUGAAGGAAGAAGGCUUUCGGGUUGUAAACUUCUUUUAAGAGGGAAGAGCAGAAGACGGUACCUCUAGAAUAAGCCACGGCUAACUACGUGCCAGCAGCCGCGGUAAUACGUAGGUGGCAAGCGUUGUCCGGAUUUACUGGGUGUAAAGGGCGUGCAGCCGGGUCUGCAAGUCAGAUGUGAAAUCCAUGGGCUCAACCCAUGAACUGCAUUUGAAACUGUAGAUCUUGAGUGUCGGAGGGGCAAUCGGAAUUCCUAGUGUAGCGGUGAAAUGCGUAGAUAUUAGGAGGAACACCAGUGGCGAAGGCGGAUUGCUGGACGAUAACUGACGGUGAGGCGCGAAAGUGUGGGGAGCAAACAGGAUUAGAUACCCUGGUAGUCCACACUGUAAACGAUGAAUACUAGGUGUGCGGGGACUGACCCCCUGCGUGCCGCAGUAAACACAAUAAGUAUUCCACCUGGGGAGUACGAUCGCAAGGUUGAAACUCAAAGGAAUUGACGGGGGCCCGCACAAGCGGUGGAUUAUGUGGUUUAAUUCGAAGCAACGCGAAGAACCUUACCAGGGUUUGACAUCCUGCUAACGAAGUAGAGAUACAUUAGGUGCCCUUCGGGGAAAGCAGAGACAGGUGGUGCAUGGUUGUCGUCAGCUCGUGUCGUGAGAUGUUGGGUUAAGUCCCGCAACGAGCGCAACCC
rnacentral:rRNA from 1 species